ACAACAUUCGGACCGUCAGUCUACCGAGCAAUUUCACUCGCUCGGAAGAUAUCCCUAUUGCCGU
rnacentral:pre_miRNA from 1 species